rnacentral:tRNA from 1 species
GGGGUUAUGGCUCAGCAGUAGAGCACUCGCCUAGCAUGUGUGAGGUCCUGGGUUCAAUCCUCAGUACCACA